AGUCGAGGGGCAUCAGUUUGGUUUGCUUGCAAACCAAAGCUGGCGACCGGCGCACGGGUGAGUAACACGUAUCCAACCUGCCUCAUACUCGGGGAUAGCCUUUCGAAAGAAAGAUUAAUAUCCGAUAGCAUAUAUUUCCCGCAUGGGUUUUAUAUUAAAGAAAUUCGGUAUGAGAUGGGGAUGCGUUCCAUUAGUUUGUUGGGGGGGUAACGGCCCACCAAGACUACGAUGGAUAGGGGUUCUGAGAGGAAGGUCCCCCACAUUGGAACUGAGACACGGUCCAAACUCCUACGGGAGGCAGCAGUGAGGAAUAUUGGUCAAUGGACGCGAGUCUGAACCAGCCAAGUAGCGUGAAGGAUGACUGCCCUAUGGGUUGUAAACUUCUUUUAUAUGGGAAUAAAGUUGUCCACGUGUAGAUUUUUGUAUGUACCAUAUGAAUAAGGAUCGGCUAACUCCGUGCCAGCAGCCGCGGUAAUACGGAGGAUCCGAGCGUUAUCCGGAUUUAUUGGGUUUAAAGGGAGCGUAGGCGGAUUGUUAAGUCAGUUGUGAAAGUUUGCGGCUCAACCGUAAAAUUGCAGUUGAUACUGGCAGUCUUGAGUGCAGUAGA
rnacentral:rRNA from 1 species